GAGUGAAAUGAUGCUUAACCAUCUUUCGGGACUUACCUAUUGAUGGGGAUAACUUUUUUUUCCACUGAUCACUC
rnacentral:snoRNA from 1 species